rnacentral:rRNA from 1 species
CCUACGGGGCGCAGCAGUGAGGAAUAUUGGUCAAUGGGCGAGAGCCUGAACCAGCCAAGUCGCGUGAAGGAUGAAGGAUCUAUGGUUUGUAAACUUCUUUUAUAUGGGAAUAAAGUGAGGAACGUGUUCCUUUUUGUAUGUACCAUAUGAAUAAGCAUCGGCUAACUCCGUGCCAGCAGCCGCGGUAAUACGGAGGAUGCGAGCGUUAUCCGGAUUUAUUGGGUUUAAAGGGUGCGUAGGCGGAAUGCCAAGUCAGCGGUAAAAUCGCGGGGCUCAACCUCGCUCCGCCGUUGAAACUGGCGUUC